GACGAACGCUGGCGGCGUGCUUAACACAUGCAAGUCGAACGGAAAGGCCCUGCGUUUGUGGGGUGCUCGAGUGGCGAACGGGUGAGUAACACGUGAGUAACCUGCCCUUGACUUUGGGAUAACUUCAGGAAACUGGGGCUAAUACCGGAUAGGAGCUCCUGCUGCAUGGUGGGGGUUGGAAAGUUUCGGCGGUUGGGGAUGGACUCGCGGCUUAUCAGCUUGUUGGUGGGGUAGUGGCUUACCAAGGCUUUGACGGGUAGCCGGCCCGAGAGGGUGACCGGCCACACUGGGACUGAGAUACGGCCCAGACUCCUACGGGAGGCAGCAGUGGGGAAUAUUGCACAAUGGGCGGAAGCCUGAUGCAGCAACGCCGCGUGCGGGAUGACGGCCUUCGGGUUGUAAACCGCUUUCGCCUGUGACGAAGCGUGAGUGACGGUAAUGGGUAAAGAAGCACCGGCUAACUACGUG
rnacentral:rRNA from 1 species